rnacentral:tRNA from 1 species
AGAGAGGUGGCUCAGUGGUUCAGAGUACUGACUGCCAUUUCAGAGGACCUAGGUUCAAAUCCCAGUACCCCUA